UUGACACGUGGUGUAGUGGGACAGAGCGGGAAGCUGUGAUAUUGCUACUGGGUUAGCUACAUUACCUGGCACAUCGACAAGACCGAGAGGCCGGACACACAUGUAGAGGGACGGACGCAAGCUUUUUUUUCUUCCUGACGACGUCCUUCGACGCCAGAGCCACAGAUGUAGUGUUGGUGGAGAAUACCUACAUAGCCUAGAAUUUAUCCUUGGAUACAAAAUUCCCAUGAAGCUACACAGAGAGACAGCUAGGUCUGCUGUCAUGAACUUUCAGCGAGCCCGAGGUUUAGAAUGCAAGGUGUACGUGGCGACCUUCGUGUCAAACAUUAGCCUCGACCACAAAAAUGGUACGGCAGCCAUCUUUUCUUUCUCUAGCAGUGUUUUGUUCUAGUUCUGUUCAGAGUGAUGAUCUGGACACCAUUUGUAACUUUACGACUCUGUAUUAAACCCUGCGGCUUCAUUAAGAAUCACUUGAAAAUAAGGUCUGAUGCAUAAAAGCCUGACAGACUUUUAUGCGCUCAUUAAUAAACAUUUAUGACUUAAUUCUAA
ensembl:lncRNA